rnacentral:rRNA from 1 species
UACAGAGGUCUCGAGCGUUGUUCGGAUUCAUUGGGCGUAAAGGGUGCGUAGGUGGCGUGGUAAGUCUGGUGUGAAAUCCCGGGGCUCAACCCCGGAACUGCACUGGAUACUGCCAUGCUUGAGUACUGGAGAGGAGAUUGGAAUUUACGGUGUAGCAGUGAAAUGCGUAGAUAUCGUAAGGAAGACCAGUGGCGAAGGCGAAUCUCUGGACAGUUACUGACACUGAGGCAGCG